rnacentral:rRNA from 1 species
UACGGAGGGGGCCAGCGUUGUUCGGAAUCAUUGGGCGUAAAGGGCGCGUAGGCGGCUUGGUAAGUCGGUCGUGAAAUCCCUCGGCUCAACUGAGGAACUGCGUCCGAUACUGCUGAGCUCGAGUCCCGGAGAGGGUAGCGGAAUUCCCAGUGUAGCGGUGAAAUGCGUAGAUAUUGGGAGGAACAUCGGUGGCGAAGGCGGCUACCUGGACGGGUACUGACGCUGAGGCGCGAAAGCGUGGGGAGCAAACAGG